rnacentral:sRNA from 1 species
CAGGGUGCAGCUGACAACAUUUUAAUUGGAUCAUUCACAGGGGAUCUCAGGGUCAUGAAUAUUGCUUCCAGCGGGAACGACUUCUACAGCACAGUGUGUCAUUCUUCACCUAUCAUACACAUAAGUACAUCAAAAGUGAAUCCAGAUCUUGUGUUUACGAGUACAUGGGGUGCAUCCCAGAACUGUGCAUUGUGGAACUUUUCCCGCACUAACCCAGACCUCUCUCUCAAGUAAGUGGUUACAACACUAGGAGACCAUAUAUAUAUUUAUAUCCU